UUCCGUAUGAAAUUAAUCCUGUGCUUUCAGUGUGGCUUGUUUAUGUUUUCUGGAGAAGUACAAGAGUGCUCUGGAACAGCAAGAGCAUGCCAUAGGAAGAAGGAAAACCUGACAGAGGUUUUUGUUCUGUCUCAGUGCCUGGAUUCAAAUCCCCCACUUUCCUGAUUCUUUCUGCACUAUUCAGAGAUGAGCAGACUUUGAUUCCUGCAAGGACAUUCCCAGCAGGCUACAGCGCUCUGGAGGAAGAAGAGAGGGGUGUCCCACACCCACAGCCCUUCUCCAGAUGUAUUUCCACAGUGAUCCAGUGGAGCCACAUCUCCUUUCUCAGCGCUGCCAGUGUAAUGCUUUCUGCCGGCUUCAGCAGGCUCUGGGACAGAUUCUUAGUGCAUGUGAGCAGCAGCCCAGUAGGAAAAAAAAAAAAAAAAAAAGAACUGUAUUGUGCCAGGGAUCUAUUUGAAGUUGAAUUAUGCAGCAUGUAAAACUGAUGGAAAUCAAAACACAGAAGUGUCGCCCUGUGGUGAUGUCCUGCAGAAUUCCAGCCAGAGACAAGACCAUGAGUAGAUUCUGUUUCAACAAGAGCAUUCAAGAAUAUUUUCUGCCACUGUAAGUUGUUGUUGCCACACGUUGCCAAAAAGAUGACUUUCAGCACCACAACUUUGCAGAACAAAACUGAGAACUGCAUAAGCUGUGUUUUCUGUUAGUUUUUAACAAUUCUAUAAUUUUCAGUCUACUAGUAAAACCACUAGAAAAAGAUCACAGUGAUGUUUCCUUUGUUCAGUGAAGAACUCAAAUAUAAAAACUUAUUUUUCAAUGUAAAACUGAAAAUCUUGUUAAUUUGUUUGUUUUUAAAAGGAGAUGUACAGUUCUUAUACUCCUAUAUGUAUUUUGUGUAAUUCUGUUCAAAUCAAAGGGAAUUAUAUGUGCUGUGCAGGGAGAUAAACUAACUGUAAGCCUUGCAGGCCACAAAAUAGUGGAAAGGAAAAGUAAUGACCCAAUCUUAAGAUAAUUUCUGUGCUUGUGCACAAUGCUGUAUGAAUUCAGUCUUGUAUUAUAGAGCUAUAAUAAAGACAGAUCUUUCAUAAACCAUUCAACU
ensembl:lncRNA